AGCGAACGCUGGCGGCAGGCUUAACACAUGCAAGUCGAGCGGACCUUUCGGGGUCAGCGGCGGACGGGUGAGUAACGCGUGGGAACGUGCCUUCCGGUUCGGAAUAACCCUGGGAAACUAGGGCUAAUACCGGAUACGCCCUUAUGGGGAAAGGUUUACUGCCGGAAGAUCGGCCCGCGUCUGAUUAGCUAGUUGGUGGGGUAACGGCCUACCAAGGCGACGAUCAGUAGCUGGUCUGAGAGGAUGAUCAGCCACACUGGGACUGCGACACGGCCCAGACUCCUACGGGAGGCAGCAGUGGGGAAUAUUGGGCACUGGGCGCAAGCCUGAUCCAGCCAUGCCGCGUGAGUGAUGAAGGCCUUAGGGUUGUAAAGCUCUUUUAUCCGGGACGAUAAUGACGGUACCGGAGGAAUAAGCCCCGGCUAACUUCGU
rnacentral:rRNA from 1 species